GCAGCCUGCUCUGCUACUCACUGACUUCCAGUGCCUGAGUCGUUGGUGCCGAGUUUUCUUAUCCCCUAUCCCAAGGGGUGUCCGAGCAGGGUCACCCGCAGCAUCUGGUGCUUUGAAUUGGGGCUCUCGCAUAGGUCUCUCUCGGCCCCACUUGAAUCAGGGUGUCUUAUUUCUUUCCAUCGCCACGGCUGUUUUUUGUUUGAGUCCUGCCUGUGUUGCUGGCGGUGCAUGGUGGGAUCCUCCCUACACUGGUGCACUUUCACUAUCUGCACACUUUUGGACUCCUAGGUGCAUUUCAGCGCCCCCUCUCCGGGGACUUGUCCGGUCACUGCCCAUUUGCUGAGCAGCUUGCGCCACUGAAGGUUCCCUCUGGUCCCCUCUGACAACCUCACCAAAGGCCUAAAAGCAUUGUGCCCAUGUGAUCAUGAAUUGACUGCCUAAAACCCUAGGAGCUGUGACAGAGUGUUCCUAACAGGGAAUGCACGAAUCCUUUCAAAUAUUCUACCACCCAGGAACUGCUGUCCCCAAUGUUACUGCCUAGGUGUCUUCGUUAUACUGUUCUAUCAUUGUGAAGAGACACCAUGACCAUAGAAACUUUUAUAAAGAGUUUCGUUGUGAAGUCCUCACUGUCCUGUAACUUGCUUUGUUUGCCAGGCCAAUCUUGAACUCCUCCUGCUUCUGCUUUCCCAAAUGCCUGGAUUAACCUCACAGUUACAGACAGCUGUGAGCUGCCGUGUGGCUGCUGGGAUUGAACCCGGGUCCUCUGGAAGAGCAGUCAGUGCUCUUAACCACUGAGCCAUCUCUCUAGCCCCCUUGCCAGUCAGGCCCCUUCUCAUCUUUCUGUAAACACUGUCCACUGUAGUUCCUCCCUACAAAUAACAAUCUCUCUUGAUUGUGCUCUCACUCUUACUAGUUCUCUCUCUCUCUCUCUCUCUCUCUCUCUCUCUCUCAUUUUCACACCUAUCA